ACGUAUCUCUGGAACGGGUGGUGGUGCGCCCUGCUCCGGCCCAAACGGCCGUGCAGCGGGUGCCCGUCCCCGUCCACACCUCACAAACCCACUGUGAACCUCAACGGCGGAGGGGGGGGUUUAACCCUCCCGACGCCGCAUACCAAACUCCAGUUGUAAAGAAUGUCGUGCGGACCAUGUGCCGCCUAAAUCAUAAAA
rnacentral:misc_RNA from 1 species